rnacentral:rRNA from 1 species
AUUGAACGCUGGCGGCAGGCCUAACACAUGCAAGUCGAGCGAGCGGCGGACGGGUGAGUAAUGUCUGGGAAACUGCCUGAUGGAGGGGGAUAACUACUGGAAACGGUAGCUAAUACCGCAUACCAUCAGAUGUGCCCAGAUGGGAGUGGCUAGUAGGUGGGGUAACGGCUCACCUAGGCGACGAUCCCUAGCUGGUCUGAGAGGAUGACCAGCCACACUGGGACUGAGACACGGUCCAUACUCCUACGGGAGGCAGCAGUGGGGAAUAUUGCACAAUGGGCUGAAGCCUGCUGCAGCGCUGCCGCGUGUGUGAAGAGGGCCUUCGGGUUGUAAAGCACUUUCAGCGGGGAGGCGUUACCCGCAGAAGAAGCACCGGCUAACUCCGUGCCAGCAGCCGCGGUAAUUC